GGGGGGGGGGGGAGGUAAGUAAAGCGAUCGCAGCGCAUAAGGUGGUAAAAAUAGGCACUAACAGAAGUUAGCUGUCAUAACAUUUCAUACCAGUUAUAUGGCUCGAAAUGGAACUUUAAUUUACGAUUACUCCUGAUAUAUUCAUUUAAAUUGUAUGGUGUAAGGAACCAUUAUAAUCUGUAUGAAAUGCUUAUUAAUAUAACGAACGUAUUUCAUUUAAUAAUUAUUUAUACUGUAUGCGUGUAAAUAGCUUUGCAAAUGCCACAUAUACUGUGAUAUUUGUCUAGAAGUUAAAAAUGGGUAUAGUAAAUUAUCCUUAAAAGAUAGACAUACACCAUCGUGGACUUUUUUGUAGACCCAUGAAAGAGAGACAACCCCACCAUACAUUGUGUUGUUAUAGCUCAAACGUAUUAGUUGGUAUUAGGUGGCGUUUUCGAUUAAAGCUCCUAGCCAGCGUGAUUUUUUCCAACAACAUCGUCAUAUUUCAACCAAUUUAAACGAAACCUUAACAAGUUAUAUACCUAAACCUUCCUCAAGAAUCACUAUUGAUAAAUGAAAAUCAUGUGAAAAUCCGUUCAGUAGUUCUUGAGUUUUGGAGUAGUUUUAUAAGAUGUAGUGAAUUGACGUUUUCCCCUAGAUUUACGGAUGCUAGGUCGCGUGACAGUCGUGCACGUAACGA